CACGUAGGGGCCGAGCGUUGUCCGGAUUCAUUGGGCGUAAAGAGCUCGUAGGCGGUUCAGUCAGUCGGGUGUGAAAUCUCCGGGCUCAACUCGGAGGGGCCACCCGAUACUGCUGUGACUUGAGUCCGGUAGGGGAGUGGAGAAUUCCUGGUGUAGCGGUGAAAUGCGCAGAUAUCAGGAGGAACACCGGUGGCGAAGGCGCCACUCUGGGCCGGUACUGACGCUGAGGAGCGAAAGCGUGGGGAGCAAACAGG
rnacentral:rRNA from 1 species